rnacentral:tRNA from 1 species
CCCCCGGUAGCUCAGCGGCAGAGCGCCCGGCUGUAGACCGGGUGGCCCGGGGUUCGAAUCCCCGCCGGGGGACCA